rnacentral:rRNA from 1 species
ACGGGAGGCAGCAGUGGGGAAUAUUGGACAAUGGGGGAAACCCUGAUCCAGCGACGCCGCGUGAGUGAAGAAGUAUUUCGGUAUGUAAAGCUCUAUCAGCAAGGAAGAAAAUGACGGUACUUGACUAAGAAGCUCCGGCUAAAUACGUGCCAGCAGCCGCGGUAGUACGUAUGGAGCAAGCGUUAUCCGGAUUUACUGGGUGUAAAGGGAGCGUAGACGGUUUGCCAAGUCUGAUGUGAAAGGUGGGGGCUCAACCCCCAAACUGCAUUGGAAACUGGUAGACUAGAGUGUCGGAGAGGUAAGUGGAAUUCCUAGUGUAGCGGUGAAAUGCGUAGAUAUUAGGAGGAACACCAGUGGCGAAGGCGGCUUACUGGACGAUAACUGACGUUGAGGCUCGAAAGCGUGGGGAGCAAACAGGAUUAGAUACCCUGGUA